ACCUGAAUAAAUUAUUAAUUUUGAAAUGACGAUUAUAGUUUUAUUGCAACAAGAAGUAUAAACACACAUAAAUUCGAGAAAAUUUCUAGACUUUGAAACGACUUUAACUAUGUCUUCUUUAUCUAAAAGUACAGAGUGGACUUACAGCCGCCACGGAUUUGUUGUUAGGGUGCUUCUCUUUGUAGGUUUUUCUGAAUUCCUCCCUUUAAUAGAUCAAAAAAAGGAACCGUAAAUAACAUAAUAAUUUAUAAAUUACACACACACUCGCAAAGAGAAAUAAAAGUGAGUUCGUACAUAAAAACGAAGAAAGCACUGGCAGGCCUCUUCGGUUAAAAACAAUGUGUUUUUCUUCCCUGCUCCUUACAUUCCACGAGUAAACAAACCAUGAGGAAUUCUUUGUUAGAGCAGGAUAAAUUGAAUAAGGUACAAGAGCACAUUUCAGUAAGCUUAGAAUUAAUAAGUAAACGUUAAUUAACACUAACAUUUUAUUGUCAAACUGUCUCAAGAAACUGGUUUUUUAAAUUAAUUGAAAAAAUUCCUAAGCUUAACAUAAUGAAUUUAUUUUCUUUUGGUAAAUAAAAAAUUCAUCUUUUAAAGCUUAUAUUUAAGAUUGUAGCUAAGCGUGCACUAAUUGAUUAAAUAAAGAAUGAAUAAACUUAAAUAGUGUACAAACCUCUCCGCUUCCUUCUUCAUCAUCCUCAUCAUUCACUUCAGAAUUUGACUUCUCCGAUUCUUCUUCAGCAGGUCCUUCAGCCUGUUAGAAAUGUAAGAAUUAAUGGUGUUUAAAUAAACUAGUUGGUUUUUAUUUUGAGAGAAAACUAAAAGAAAAUUACCAGUUUUUUAUUGUAAGCUCGAAGUUCCUUUUCGUAAUCGACCUUCCUUUUCUCCGCCUUUGUUACGUAAGGAGCUUUCUCCUGAUAUUAACGUUCAGAAAUUUAGAACAAAUACAUACAUAAAUUUACAAUUAAAAAAAGAACAAACUAUGGAAUGCUUACAGCCGCUGAAAGUGAUUUCCACUUGUCCCCUCCAGCUUUUCCUACCUGAAUAAAUUAUUAAUUUUGAAAUGACCUAGGAAAGAAUGCAUUAUUCAAGUCAAAUCAAUGGGAAAUAUGUGGUUAAAAAAUAAAGAAAAGUUUAAAGAAAAGUUUAAGACAUACGUAUAAUAUUAUUUUAUUGAAAAAUAUGUGAUUAAAAUGAAGUUAAAUCACCGUUGAAGAAUAUAUUUUUUUAAAAAAUAAUGUGGCUCUUUAAGUCCCAUAUCUUGUUGGGCAUGAUCCGAAUAAAACAAAGCUAAAAUCGAUUUAUUCUACAGUCAAUUUUUUAUCCAUUGUUGCUUGUCAAUGAGUACCGGUUGAGAGAGAAACAAAUAUAUACAGUGCAAUAUCUUAAUUAAGAAUGGAAAAGUAAAAAAAAUGUGUUUUUCUUCCCUGCUCCUUACAUUCCACGAGUAAACAAACCAUGAGGAAUCCUUUGUUGAGCAGGAUAAAUUGAAUAAAGUACAAGAGCACAUUUCAGCAAACUUAGAAUAAAUAAGUAAGCGUUAAUUAACACUAACAUUUUAUUGUCAAACUGUCUCGAGAAACUGGUUUUUUAAAUUAAUUGAAAAAGUUCCUAAGCUUAACAUAAUGAAUUUAUUUUCUUUUGGUAAAUAAAAAAUUCUUCUUUUAAAGCUUAUAUUUAAGAUUGUAGCUAAGCGUGCACUAAUUGAUUAAAUAAAGAAUGAAUAAACUUAAAUAGUGUACAAACCUCUCCGCUUCCUUCUUCAUCAUCCUCAUCAUUCACUUCAGAAUUUGACUUCUCCGAUUCUUCUUCAGCAGGUCCUUCAGCCUGUUAGAAAUGUAAAGAAUUAAUAGUGUUUAAAUAAACUAGUUGGUUUUUAUUUUGAGAGAAAACUAAAAGAAAAUUACCAGUUUUUUAUUGUAAGCUCGAAGUUCCUUUUCAUAAUCGACCUUCCUUUUCUCCGCCUUUGUUACGUAAGGAGCUUUCUCCUGAAAUUAACGUUCAGAAAUUUAGAACAAAUACAUACAUAAAUUUACAAUUAAAAAAAGAACUAACUAAGGAAUGCUUACAGCCGCUGAAAGUGAUUUCCACUUGUCCCCUCCAGCUUUUCCUACCUGAAUAAAUUAUUAAUUUUGAAAUGACGAUUAUAGUUUUAUUGCAACAAGAAGUAUAAACACACAUAAAUUCGAGAAAAUUUCUAGACUUUGAAACGACUUUAACUAUGUCUUCUUUAUCUAAAAGUACAGAGUGGACUUACAGCCGCCACGGAUUUGUUGUUAGGGUGCUUCUCUUUGUAGGUUUUUCUGAAUUCCUCCCUUUAAUAGAUCAAAAAAAGGAACCGUAAAUAACAUAAUAAUUUAUAAAUUACACACACACUCGCAA
rnacentral:lncRNA from 1 species